AUUGAACGCUGGCGGAAUGCUUUACACAUGCAAGUCGAACGGCAGCACGGGGGCAACCCUGGUGGCGAGUGGCGAACGGGUGAGUAAUACAUCGGAACGUGCCCAGUCGUGGGGGAUAACGUAGCGAAAGUUACGCUAAUACCGCAUACGAUCUACGGAUGAAAGCGGGGGACCGUAAGGCCUCGCGCGAUUGGAGCGGCCGAGGUCAGAUUAGGUAGUUGGUGGGGUAAAAGCCCACCAAGGCGACGAUCAGUAGCUGGUCUGAGAGGACGAUCAGCCACACUGGGACUGAGACACGGCCCAGACUGCUACGGGAGGCAGCAGGGGGGAAUUUUGGACAAUGGGGGCAACCCUGAUCCAGCAAUGCCGCGUGAGUGAAGAAGGCCUUCGGGUUGUAAAGCUCUUUUGUCAGGGAAGAAACACCGGCUCUAACACAGUCCGGGAAUGACGGUACCUGAAGAAUAAGCACCGGCUAACUACGUGCCAGCCGCCGCCGUAA
rnacentral:rRNA from 1 species